GCGGGAGUAGCUCAGUGGUAGAGCAUCUGCUUCCCAAGCAGAGGGUCGCGGGUUCGAAUCCCGUCUCCCGCUCCA
rnacentral:tRNA from 3 species